CAGAAGAAUCUUCAUCUUUCCACUCUCACUCUCCGCCAGCAACUUUCCUAAAAUAAUCUGAAAGUAUUACCGAUAAAAAUCGUCUCCUUUCUCUCCUAAUAUUGAUUUCAAUCCCUCUCCGGAGAUUCCUUCAUGGAGGAUCAUUUGAACAAGUUACUAAUGAAUGAUUCAUUUUUCUGGAUUUUAUGAAGCAAAAUUCAAUUUAUAACUGGAGCAAAAUUCUUGUAACUUUCUUAGUUAGAUAGUAAGACUCUAGGUAGUUUCGAAAAUAUUGAAUUCAUCAAAAAAUAAAAAUAAAAUUGAAACUCUAUUUUUCUCCUAUCUUGUUUUUUCUUUCAAUUCUAUGUUUGUUUAUAUUUAUUGGGUAAGGCUUUUUGCACUUCAACUAUAGUAAAUAGUUAGUUUGAUCAAGGUAGAAGAGUAUGUAAAUUGAUUGAAUACUACAUGUCGGAGAAACUGCAACUGGGUAAGUAUUAUUUUUUUCUCGGUUGUCUAUUGCUACUUCAGAAAUUUUUUGUCCUUCUCCCUCUCCCCUUCGCUGCAUCAAAGCAUUGUGUUUGUGAUUUCUUUCCUAUUCUGUUUUUUCUUAAUUUCUUCUGCAAUUAUUUGUCUGCUUCGAUUAUUUUACCUUAUUAUUUUGAUGGGUUACAUUUGAAAUUUUUUACCCUUUUAUUGGUGUAUUGACUAUUGAUAAAUGUUGUAUUUGCAGAGUUACCUUCACCCACCUUUUAUUUAUGAUUGUGUUGUCUGUUAAAACUUAGAUGAAAAUUUUCAUGUCCUCUAUCUUGCUAGCUCUCGUGGAUUCGGCUAUGUCACCGUUGCUACAGUUGAGGAUGCUAAGGUGAUUUUGGUUUUAUUUUGAUUUUCAUGUUAUUGUUGUAAUCAUGUUUGUUUACUGAUCUCAAUUAAAAUUUUCUUACACGAUGUGGCCUUGUUUCUUGUGGUUUUGUUGUUAAUUUAACUCAUCAUUUAUGUAUUUGUAUGUUGUAGAAUGCAUUAUUUAAUGCGCACUUUCAUGAAAAUAGAAUGCUAGAAGUGAAGAUACACUGCUCUUACACUUUCUUGACAAAUCUUUCAUUGCCAAACAGAAACGCCAUCAAAAGAACGAUCAAGGGUAAAUUCGUCAUUUUGCUCAAAGACAAAAGAAAGAAUCAGCUUUUUCUUGGCCUUUCUAGAACACUCGGUCGUUUCAUUUCUUUGUUCCAACAAUGGAGAAUUUCUAGAAGACUCCUCCCAAGUGUCCAUAAUUUUCUUUCAUCCAAACUUAAAUUCAAAGGCCUACUCAUUAGCUUCGUCUUCGUAUCUGAACGUGCAUUCUUAGGUCAGCUUUUGCCUCAAUAUUUGCCCUGAUCUUCUUUUAGAAAAGAUUAAAUUUCCAAUAUCAUAACUUAAAAUUCAUAGUUGUUGUGGUUAUUGUUCUACCCAACACUCUCUUCUAUGUUCUCUUUGAUUUUUCAUACGGUACUGCAAAAUCAAAUUAGUUUUUUUCUCUCAAUAUUUUCACAAUCUUAUUCUGGUAGCGUUCACAAUUUCAAUUUUAUGGGUUAAAUUCAUGUCUGCUACUGUUAUUGUUCUAUCUGUUACUAUUAUUGUUCUGUCACAUUAAUUUUCUUCCUUUCGGUCUUCAUUAUUGCUUGUUCUCGAACAAGAGAAAUUGAAGAAUGCAAUUAAAAAUUAAUAGCUAAAAACAUUGUAUUGUAAUUGAGAUUCAAAAUUCGAUAAUAGGGGUAAAAAAUGAAUAUUUGUGAAGAAUGCGGUGUGAGCUUUCAAAGUCUGCUCAUUUGAAGUAGCAUAUGUGAAGUCAUUCACUCGAGAUUAUUGUUGUUGCAUAAAUUUUGUCAAUCUCCAUUUGUGAUGUUAUCACACACAAGUUACUUUGCUAAAAGUUUAGUUUUUGAGAUUAUUUUCGUCAAAUUUAUUUGUUGAUUUUAAUAUAGAUUAUUAUUAAAAAAUAAGUUCAAAAGCGUUCCAUGACAGAACAUACUAUGCCAAUAGUAUUUUGAAAAGUAAUACCAACUCCUUGAACAUAUCUACAUUCUAGACUAGAUACAACUGUGGAAUCAAAGAAAAAAUGAUGUAAUUGUUUGUUAUAUAGUUUUAAAAAUAAUCGUGAUGUCCGUGUCAGCUUGCUUUCAUGCACCGUGACUAAUUUCACGGGUUGAUCUUAUUUGUUUUUUCUAUGUGUAAAAAUUUAAUUAUAGAUUUCAUGGUUCAUUUUUCUUGAUAUUAGGCUUAAAUAAGUAGAACAAAAUGGCUAAGAAAUUCUUGAGUAUAGAGCUAGCUUCAUUGCUGAAGAACUUAUAGCAUGUAAACUAAUUUCUAAAAGUUCCUCAGAUAUAUUGCUCUUUUUUCAGGACUUUUUCAAUAGGAAAGCACCAUUUCUCAAGGCAAUAUGGUAAUGCCAUUAUCUAUGAGCAACAAUAUCUAUAGAUGCAUACCAAUUUUUUAAAUGUUUCUCCCACAAAAAUAGAUUAGUUGAGCAUCUUUCGAAGAAACUGCGGUCAGCCAUACAUCAAAUGCAGUUGGUAGAACCCGUUCGACGAUUCAUUUCAAAGUAACUCGGUAAGAAAUUCUUCUCAUCCUUUCGCAACUCUCUAUGAGUUUAGUUGAACAAAUUUUUUUAAAAGUUAAACAAGGAACUGAUAGUAUUCCUACUCUUUUCUGAACCACCACGAAGCCAAAAAAAAUUAAAAGCUAAGCCUAUAUAUGUCAUGUACAAGCAUGUAGUGGUAGAAACUAAAAGAGUUAAUGUUGCCGAACUUCUUCUUUUUUUAAAUUUUUUUUACCCUCAACUCUAUGGGCCUGAUUUCUAUAAUUAAAAUGGUAAAUGGAGAAGAUUGUUGCUUGAAAGUUGUUACUGAAUGAAUUUACUACUACUGAAUACCCCAGAUGCCUAAAUCAAGUAUGUUGCAUCUUACAUUUCUAUUUUUUUUUUUUUUUUCUUUAUACAUGCAAGAUAUUUUCUACUUUGGCUAUGUCAUGGUACAAGUUCUAACACUCAUUGUGUCGUGAAUGUGUAUACUAAGAGAAUCACUAAUUAUUCCACCUCCUUUCACCUUUGGAGUUGGUGGAAGGUGUUGAGUUCAAACAUCAAAAGGUACAUAUAUAUUUAACAUUCGAAGUUUUAAAUGUAAGAGAGUGACUUUGAUGAGAUUAUAUAUUAGAUGUCGACAAAUGUAUUUUAGGAUGGAUAAGAUGGUUAAUAUAUAUUGUUAGUCAUUUGACAAGCUAUUCUCUAUAGACGACUUACAUUAUUGUUUUAGGAUGAGAGUUGAGAUGUAACAUUAUCAGUUUCAAGAAAAAAAAUGAUAGUUGAGAUGUUCUUACUCCUCCUCGAGAUGUUACACUUAUAAGACUAAAGAGGCAAAUAUGAAUUCCUUUUCUUUCUUUCUAAAUCAAUGUGCUGCAUCAAUUUUUUAUUCCUCAGCAUAAAGUGCUUAAGUACCAUUAUGCUUUUCUAAAUGGUAUGAGUUUCGUUAUGCUAUUAUUUUUGGCACGUACAGAUCUUCCUUAAUCAAGAUUCAUUAUGUCGGGUCCGUGCUUACAAUAUGCUUCUCCUUUGCAUCACCCCCAAAUAACAUUUUCUAGGAGCAUCUAUAAGUGAGCUCCUAGAAAUAUAAAAUAUUGGGCCAUCAGAGUAAUCAGAUACACAAUUUGAACUAAAAGUACAAACAAUAUUUCUCAACAGAUGUAUUGUGCAUUUCUUCUUAACUCUUGAGUCGCAAACUUAGCUUAGCACUUUUUAUAUGUCAAAUGAUAAUUUGUAUAUGUGCAGGAGAAAAAAUCAUGUCUGAUGGUUCUAAGAAUCGACUGAACAAUGUUAAACCUUAACAAAGAAUAAGAUUAACAUUUAUACUUAUAUCAUCACUUUUUUCAUUUCAACUUUUUUAUAUUUUGUUCUUUUAAUUAGAUUUUACAGUUGUGUUUGUUUCUUUAAGGGUAUUUUCAUGAAUUUAAGGUUGUACAAUAGAGAUCAAUGGUAACUUGGAGCAGGUUUAUCUCUAUUGAAUGAAUUUUAUGAUUAUUCAUCUUCAUUUCUUCUAUUAUAGCUAAACUUGCUCAAAUACGUAUAAUGUAUUUUGAUAUUGAUAUUACAAGAAUC
rnacentral:lncRNA from 1 species